rnacentral:rRNA from 1 species
UACGAAGGGGGCUAGCGUUGCUCGGAAUCACUGGGCGUAAAGCGCACGUAGGCGGACUCUUAAGUCAGGGGUGAAAUCCUGGAGCUCAACUCCAGAACUGCCUUUGAUACUGGGAGCCUUGAGUUCGAGAGAGGUGAGUGGAACUGCGAGUGUAGAGGUGAAAUUCGUAGAUAUUCGCAAGAACACCAGUGGCGAAGGCGGACUCACUGGCUCGGAUACUGACGGCUGAGGUGCGAAAGCGUGGGGAGCAAACAGG